rnacentral:rRNA from 1 species
UACGGAGGAUGCGAGCGUUAUCCGGAUUUAUUGGGUUUAAAGGGUGCGUAGGUGGUAAUUUAAGUCAGCGGUGAAAGUUUGUGGCUCAACCAUAAAAUUGCCGUUGAAACUGGGUUACUUGAGUGUGUUUGAGGUAGGCGGAAUGCGUGGUGUAGCGGUGAAAUGCAUAGAUAUCACGCAGAACUCCGAUUGCGAAGGCAGCUUACUAAGCUACAACUGACACUGAAGCACGAAAGCGUGGGGAUCAAACAGG